rnacentral:rRNA from 1 species
UACAGAGGUCUCAAGCGUUGUUCGGAAUCACUGGGCGUAAAGGGUGCGUAGGCGGCAUGGAAAGUCAGAUGUGAAAUCCGGAGGCUCAACCUCCGAAUUGCAUCCGAUACUACCAAGCUAGAGAGUUGUAGGGGAGCUUGGAAUUCUCGGUGUAGCAGUGAAAUGCGUAGAUAUCGAGAAGAACGCUCGUGGCGAAGGCGAGGCUCUGGGCAACAUCUGACGCUGAUGCACGAAGGCUAGGGGAGCAAACGGG